UUAAGAAUCUUGCACAAUGGGGGCAACCCUGAUGCAGCGACGCCGCGUGAAUGAUGAAGGCCUUCGGGUUGUAAAGUUCAGUAAGCAGGGAAGAAUAAGCAACGGGUAAUAUUCGUUGUGAUGACGGUACCUGCCUAAAGCCCCGGCUCACUACGUGCCAGCAGCCGCGGUAAUACGUAUGGGGCAGGCGUUGUUGGGAAUUAUUGGGCGUAAAGGGCGUCUAGGCGGGGGAUUAAGUUAGAUGUGAAAGCUAUGGGCUCAACCCAGAAACUGCAUCUAAGACUGGUUCUCUUGAGUCCGGUAGAGGAGAGCGGAAUUCCAGGUGUAGCGGUGAAAUGCGUAGAUAUCUGGAAGAACACCAGUGGCGAAGGCGGCUCUCUGGCCUAGGACUGACGCUGAAGCGCGAAAGCGUGGGGAGCGAACA
rnacentral:rRNA from 1 species